rnacentral:rRNA from 1 species
UUCUCUUAGUAGUGGCGAACGAACAGAGAUUAGCCCAUAACCGAAGCCUGCAUCUUUAUUGAUGCUAGGCAAUGUGGUGUUUGGACCUAGUCUAACGGUAUGUUGGAGUUGUUCUAAGUCCACGUGAUUGUGGCAACAAGCCCAGAGAGGGUGUAAGGCCCGUAAGAACAAUACAGCAUGCCCGGGAUUAGUUCCUAGAGUCGGGUUGUUUGGGAUUGCAGCCCAAAUCGGGUGGUAAACUCCAUCCAAGGCUAAAUACAACACGAGUCCGAUAGCGAACAAGUACCAUGAGGGAAAGUUGAAAAGAACUUUGAAGAGAGAGUUCAAUAGUGCGUGAAACCGCUGAAAGGGAACCGGGUAGAGCUGAAAGAGACUUGGCAUAUUUGUAUUUCGUGAUGGCUAUGUUGCAAGUGCAGAGACUCAUUGCUCGGCUUGUGAUGUGUGUUGUUGCGUUGUGCUAUUGUGCUUUGUCGACACCAUAAUCAGUAGUCAGGUUGGUCUAGCAUUGCUGGAAAGGUAGCUUGGCCUCAGUCAAGUAUUAUAGUCUGGCUUUCUAGCACCAGCUAAGUACUGUGAAAAUUCAUACGUGUAAUGGCGGAAUGAGGUGUGAAGUUGCUGUGACAACUCAUAAAGAGAUGGUACGGUUUUCGGAGCGCUUUGGUUCGUCCUCUUACUGUAUGUAAAAAUUAUGGUGAUAUGGUAGGCAUUCUACCCGACCCGUCUUGAAACACGGACCAAGGAGUGUAACUUAUACGCAAGUCAUUGGGUGUUACGAAACCUAAAGGCGCAGUGAAAGUAAAGGCUAGACUAAUUGCUAGCUUAGGUAGGAUCCUGGAUUGUAUGGGCUUCUUGCACGACAUCUAGGCGCACUACCAGCUCGUCCCAUGCUUUAUUAAGUGGGGCGAAGCAAGAGCGUAUAAGUUGCGACCCGAAAGAUGGUGAACUAUGCCUGUGUAGGUUGAAGCCAGAGGAAACUCUGGUGGAGGACCGUAGCGAUUCUGACGUGCAAAUCGAUCGUCAAACAUGGGUAUAGGGGCGAAAGACUAAUCGAACCAUCUAGUAGCUGGUUCCCCCCGAAGUUUCCCUCAGGAUAGCUGACAUUCAUGAAUUCAACAGUUUUAUCCGGUAAAGCGAAUGAUUAGCAGUAUUGGGGAUGAAAUAUCCUCAACUGAUUCUCAAACUUUAAAUGGGUGAGAUGCUCGACUCUCUUAAUUGGAGUUGUAGCAUUGAAUGUGAAUGUCAAGUGGGCCAUUUUUGGUAAGCAGAACUGGCGAUGUGGGAUGAACCAAACGUCUGGUUAAGGAGCCAAACAUAACGCUCAUGAGAUACCACAAAAGGUGUUGGUUGAUUUUGACAGCAGGACGGUGGCCAUGGAAGUCGGAAUCCGCUAAGGAGUGUGUAACAACUCACCUGCCGAAUCAACCAGCCCUGAAAAUGGAUGGCGCUCGAGCGUUGGUCCUAUACCAGACCGUCACCGCGAUUCAAUGUAUGUGGUGACGAGUAGGGGGGCGCAGUGGUAAGCAUUGAAGCCUCUGACGUAAGUCUAGGUGGAGCUGCCACUGGUGCAGAUCACGGUAGUAAUAGCA